rnacentral:misc_RNA from 1 species
GAUGAAGAACGUAGCGAAAUGCGAUAAGUAGUGCGAAUUGCAGAAUUCAGUGAAUCAUCGAAUCUUUGAACGCACAUUGCGCCCCUUGGUAUUCCAUGGGGCAUGCCUGUUCGAGCGUCAUUUGUACCUUCAAGCUUUGCUUGGUGUUGGGUGUUUGUCCUGAGGGACUCGCCUUAAAGUAAUUGGCAGCCAGUGUUUGGUUUUGAAGCGCAGCACAAGUCGCGAUUCAAAGCUAUACGCCCGCUUCCACAAGCCUUUUUCACUUUUGACCUCGGAUCAGGUAGGGAUACCCGCUGAACUUAAGCAUAUCAAUAAGCGGAGGA